rnacentral:rRNA from 1 species
GUGAAGCUGGAUUCGCUAGUAAUCGCGCAUCAGCCAUGGCGCGGUGAAUACGUUCCCGGGCCUUGUACACACCGCCCGUCAAGCCAUGGGAGCCGGGGGUGCUUGAAGUGCGUCGCCGCAAGGCGCGCCCUAGAGCAAAACCGGUGACUGGGGCUAAGUCGUAACAAGGUAGC